UCUAACUGACAGAACAGCCAGCUGGAGUAAAAUCUAACUGACAGAACGGCCAGCUGGAGUAAAAUCUAACUGACAGAACAUCCAGCUGGAGUAAAAUCUAACUGACAGAACAUCCAGCUGGAGUAAAAUCUAACUGACAGAACGGCCAGCUGGAGUAAAAUCUAACUGACAGAACGGCCAGCUGGAGUAAAAUCUAACUGACAGAACAUCCAGCUGGAGUAAAAUCUAACUGACAGAACAGCCAGCUGGAGUAAAAUCUAACUGACAGAACGUCCAGCUGGAGUAAAAUCUAACUGACAGAACGGCCAGCUGGAGUAAAAUCUAACUGACAGAACGGCCAGCUGGAGUAAAAUCUAACUGACAGAACAUCCAGCUGGAGUAAAAUCUAACUGACAGAACAGCCAGCUGGAGUAAAAUCUAACUGACAGAACGUCCAGCUGGAGUAAAAUCUAACUGACAGAACGGCCAGCUGGAGUAAAAUCUAACUGACAGAACGGCCAGCUGGAGUAAAAUCUAACUGACAGAACGGCCAGCUGGAGUAAAAUCUAACUGACAGAACAGCCAGCUGGAGUAAAAUCUAACUGACAGAACAUCCAGCUGGAGUAAAAUCUAACUGACAGAACAGCCAGCUGGAGUAAAAUCUAACUGACAGAACGGCCAGCUGGAGUAAAAUCUAACUGACAGAACGGCCAGCUGGAGUAAAAUCUAACUGACAGAACAUCCAGCUGGAGUAAAAUCUAACUGACAGAACGGCCAGCUGGAGUAAAAUCUAACUGACAGAACAGCCAGCUGGAGUAAAAUCUAACUGACAGAACGGCCAGCUGGAGUAAAAUCUAACUGACAGAACAUCCAGCUGGAGUAAAAUCUAACUGACAGAACAACCAGCUGGAGUAAAAUCUUGAACCUUGCAUGUGAAAGUGUUUAUCCUGUUUCCUACCAAGGAGAUGGGGCAGCAGGUACAGGCCAUGAUCCGCCAGCUGACUGCCUAUUGUGCCAGGGAAGUCCUCUACUCUACACUGAUGCAGGGAUGUAGUCAUUAGUGCAUACCAUAGCAAACAGUUGCAAAACGCUUCAAACAGAAAACAUUUUGCAACGAAAAGAAGAGUUUCUAUUGGACAAAUUCUGUAUGGUCCCUCCCCGUUUUGUUACAUUUGCUUCAUAGUUAAUACACCCCAGGUGACGGUACAUUGACCCCUCACCUCUAACCCCCACAGAGCUAAGGAGUAAGGAGUCUCCAGAAGAAUCAACUUUCAGAAUGUCUCCAACUUCAUCAACUUUGACUUCCCCAUCACCGUUGAGUCCUACAUCCACUGCGUCGGACGAUAACGCUGAGUGGGUUUUGAAGCCGUAUGGGUUUAAGAUGGAGAUCGAGGGCUUCAGAUACUGCUAAUCGGUCCCUCCGACGCUGAGGGGAGGGCCAACCCAAUGUCAGGCAGGAGAAGAGAGAAGCCCAAACCUGUCGGGGUCGUCAAGACAACCAUCAAGAAGGACUUCUGAGGCAAGAACCACUUGAAGAGCUUUUGCUCCCCCGGAGUGAGGAGCCGAGGGGGCAAGGCUAGCAAAUCCUAGGAUUCCAUGUCAACGUGAAACCAAAUAAAAUUCACCUAUGACAUCACCAGUUUCCAGAUCAGUGCAGAUGGAGGGGAAACAAACUGAGGAAGCCACUGGAGACUGAGAUGCAGCCGAAGUGUCCACUAUCAGACCCCAAACGGAAGAAAACUGACUGAAACAGGAGGGGACAAUCUGAACUUAUCCAAUAAGAAACACUUGUUUUUGUAUUCUGUUGGAAAACAUUUUGCUACGUUUUGAAACAGUGCACACCAUUACUCUUAAAGUGAGCCAACAUCGGAGUUUGCCUGGUUAGAAAACCUGUCAAAUUAAUAUAAUGUGCAUUCCCUCCUAAACACGACACAGUAAUGUUAUGGCUGCAUUACUCUGCACCUCCACUGAUGCGAAUGAACUUCUUUCUCUUUACUAGUGUUCAAUGAAAUCCGAAUUGAAGAAUUAAAAUUGUUUUUCAAGAAGUAAUUUUCUAUUAUUGAAUUGUCAAUAAUAGAAAUGGAAUUGACCCCAAUUCUGGUAUUUCCUAUACACAUGCUAUGUACGUGAGGUCAUUUCAGAUGGCUACAUGUGGGUAUUGCACUUAUUGUUUCUUUGUAAUUACAAUUCAGAAAACGUUUAUUACAUGUUUUGUAUUUUUGCUCUUUAAGCCGUUAACCAUAAAUCAUGUCAUGUCAGUCCCAGAGGUCUCUCCCUCUAACCAAAGGUUCUUUGGGGGGGCCACCCGAGUGGCACAGCAGUAAGGCACUGCCUCGCAGUGCUUAAGGCGGCACUACAGACCCAGGUUCGAUCCCAGGCUGUGUUACAGCCGGCCGUGACCGGAAGACCAAUGAGGCAGGACACAAUUGGCCCAGCGUCAUCCGGGUUAGAGGGUUUGGCUGGCCGGGAUUUCCUUGUCCCAUCGCGCACGUUUCCUCCGACACAUUGGUUCGGUUGGCCUUUCGGGUUAAGCAAGCAGUGUGGAGGACGCAUGGCUCUCAACCUUCGCCUCACCAGAGUCUGUACGGAAGUUGCAGCGAUGGGACAAGACCGUAACUACCAAUUGGAUAUCACAAAAGAUUGGGGAGGAAAAGGGGUAAAAGUACAAAAAGAUAAAUAAAAAGUUAUUUGGGGACGUGCUUUGAAUGUAAUUAUGAA